rnacentral:rRNA from 1 species
GUAGGUGGCAAGCGUUGUCCGGAAUUAUUGGGCGUAAAGCGCGCGCAGGCGGUUCUUUAAGUCUGAUGUGAAAGCCCACGGCUCAACCGUGGAGGGUCAUUGGAAACUGGAGAACUUGAGUACAGAAGAGGAAAGCGGAAUUCCACGUGUAGCGGUGAAAUGCGUAGAGAUGUGGAGGAACACCAGUGGCGAAGGCGGCUUUCUGGUCUGUAACUGACGCUGAGGCGCGAAAGCGUGGGGAGCAAACAGGAUUAGAUACCCUGGUAGUCCACGCCGUAAACGAUGAGUGCUAAGUGUGAGGGGGUUUCCGCCCCUUAGUGCUGCAGCUAACGCAUUAAGCACUCCGCCUGGGAGUACGGCCGCAAGGCUG